UGGGGUGCAGAAACAGGCUGGACAUGGGGCAGAGAAGCCAUGCUGGUACCUGGAUUCCAGGGUGUCACUGUGGCCAGGAUUAGGGGCAGUGGGAAAGGCUGGCAGUCGUGCAGGGCUGGAGGUAAACGGAUCAAGCAGCAAUUGGCAGGCUCAGCAAGGGGAGGCUUAGCCCAACCCAGCACAGAUUUGCUGUCGUCGCUCUGGAGCUGGGGCAGAGCUGUGGGUGGAGCACCCUUGGCACAUCACCUUGUGUCACCCCACGGGGUUCAGCAGCUCCACUGCUGCUGCUCUGCACAUCCUGCACCCACCUGCACUUGGGUGAGACGACUGCCUUCCCCACAGCGCUGCCGGACGUGGAGACGGAAGGACACCAAGGAGCUGCUCAGGAGACAGCUCAGUGAGCAGCUGGUGCUCCCUGGGCAGUGUGCAGCCCUGCUGCUGGGCUCCUGCCAGCUGGACACCCCUCGGCGCUGCCCGCAGCCAGCGGGAUGAUGGGCUGGAUUGACCGGGUGGUCCCCCAGCCCCCGGUGCCCCAUGUGACAGAGGAGACCCCUGUGCAGGAGCUGCAGCCAGCUCAGGCACCAACAGGAAAGGCCGGUGGCCCCACAGAUGCUGCAGAGCGGGCACGCACUGAGG